rnacentral:rRNA from 1 species
UACGUAGGUGGCAAGCGUUGUCCGGAUUCAUUGGGCGUAAAGAGCGCGCAGGCGGCUUGGUAAGUCGGAUGUGAAAUCCCGAGGCUCAACCUCGGGUCUGCAUCCGAUACUGCCCGGCUAGAGGUAGGUAGGGGAGAUCGGAAUUCCUGGUGUAGCGGUGAAAUGCGCAGAUAUCAGGAGGAACACCGGUGGCGAAGGCGGAUCUCUGGGCCUUACCUGACGCUCAGGCGCGAAAGCUAGGGGAGCGAACUGG